rnacentral:lncRNA from 1 species
AGCCGCUUCCUUUCCCUGCAGCCCGCCACCGCCACCGGAGUCCGCGACGCUGACGACGUCACGCGGCCUCACCGGACAGAUCCCGCCGGUCGUCGGUGCGUUGGCGUCCAAGCCCGAGUCAAAUAGAGGCGGUUCAAAGGAGGAAGCAGCGGCGUGUUCGCCGCGACAGAACAGGUCUGCUGCUGUGCAGGCCGAUGAGCAUCAACCUCGCCGAAUUGUGUGAAGGCGGCGGCGAUCUGUGAUGAAGGAGAACUAGGGCUCAGAUUGGGAAAUAAAUAGAGGAGCUUUAGAGGAAAGAAGAAGAAGAAGAAGAAGAAGAAGAAGAAGAAGAAUGCGCCUAAGAAUGUGGACCAGUCGUCGGAAUUCCCAGCGCCUGGUGGCGCGGCGGAUUUAAGGUGUGGCGUGAGAGAGGUGAGCAGACACUCUGUGCUGUUUUGAAAUGUGGGAGAGAAAAGUCAAAAGAGGGAGGAAAAGCUUUCAACGUGAAUUGAGUGAGAAGAGAAUU